CUGAGCUCGGUAGCGAGAGAGCUAUGAAUAUUACCGACACACGUAAAAGAAUGAUCUGCAUAUGCGUUGGCGACUCUGGUCGUAGAUGUGACCCACUGUUUCACUGACUAAUCAGAAAACCAUCAUCAAAUAUUGCCUUUCAAACAAUUUCAAACCAUUUACUCGUCAGCCAGCGCUUUUGCUGCCCAAACUUCUAAAACUUAGGCAAUCAUUUUUCACUGCAAGCAAUGCAAUCCUAGUGGGUCGUGGUGGGCUCGUCAGUCAGCUCUUCUCAUGGAAAAUAUAGAAAAAACUUAUAUGCCAGCAAUGUGUUUUAUAUACAAAACUUGUAUGAUUUACUCUUGAAAGUGGCCCCUUUCUCGUUUUCCUCAUACAACGUCAUACAGUCCUUACAGGUUACAAUGUUUUAUAUGUUUCAGGUUACACAGAUUUAGCAAGGAUCUUAUAAUGGUUUCACUGGCAUAUAAAAACCUGAUAGAUUAAGAGUAAAUCAUAAACGUUUUGUAUAUAAAACACAUUGCUGGCAUAUAAGUUUUUCUAUAUCUUUUCCGUAUGGGUUUUGCUGCUCAAACCUAACAAUUCUCAUUUUGGUAGAUUGUGGUCGUCUUAAAUAUCCAUAUAAUGUCAUGUCUCAUGACCGGUCUCAUUAACAGUGGUCUUCUGUCACCACUGUAUCCCCAAAUUAUUGUUUCUAUCUUUUUGUUGCAUAGCUUUAGCUCACUUCAUCAUCCUAGGUAUGCCACAGCUAUCCCCCCCCCUCCUCUCCAUCUCUCCAUUUGAAACUCCAAAUAUAUGCCUAAAGUGUCCCCUCUUCUUUCUCCUUAUGCAGAUGUCCUGGCUCUCAACAAAGGCACCAAGCCUUUGCAUUCCCAUAAGCCUGACUUCCUGAUGUCCACUACACUCUGUUCUCAAUCUUCUCCAGUCUUUUGCAAACUGUGAUGUUCAGAUGUCCUAUAAGCCUGACUUCCUGAUGUUCACUACACUCCGUUCUCAACCUUCUCCGGUAUUCUGCAAACUGUGAAUGCCUCCUUGUGUUGGAUUCAUGAUGUUCACCAUACUGCACGGCCUACUUUUUUUCUUCGCAAGCUAUGGAAAGAAACUCUGUUCAGCUCAUGAAACGGACUGUUCACAUUUUUGGACUUUUGUGGAGGAAGCAGGGUAUCCUGGUAAUUUUAUUUUGCAGCUACUAUGCUCUCGUCAUAGAUACCUUGCAUCCUACCCAGUGAGUACAUUAUACGAUUUUGAUUUCCAGUAUCUGAUGGACAUUUUGACUCUCAUGUUGAAAUAUGAUUAUUUUAUCAUAUUUUCUCAUUACAACCUACAAUUUGUAUAUAUAGGCCCAACAAAGAGAGAAAUCUGAACUGGCAAAGCUGCUCUAUAUGCAUCACAGGUCGAUAUUGUUGACCUUCACAAAUGACUUCCGUCAGUCAGUUUCAGUUGUACAUUUAGAUAAUUCCAAACAUUGAUGUCAACACACUGCUGUUCUUGUACCUAAUAAUAACUUUGAGUUAGUCAUGGCAAAAUGUGUGCAAAAUAUGUGAUGGUUGACUUCAGAGUAAACACUCAUUUUUGACAAAACCCUUCACAUUGAACUUGUAGUAGAGUUGUUUGCAUUAAUUGAACAGGCCAUCUUUGUUUUUUGUAUGUGAAGGUCAUUAACAAGGAAUAAAAUGAUUGUUUUCAUAUUAAACACCUUUGUUAUUCAUUUUGCUUAGUAAGACUUGAGACAA